rnacentral:misc_RNA from 1 species
CUGCCGGCUGGCUCCGUGCCCGUCCACCGAACGGUCGGCAGGCGAUCCGCGUCGGUCGCGCUGGUUGGUAUGGUUCACCAGAGGCCGGUUCUUGUGCUGCCUACCCCUUCAGGGGAAGCGGUCCAUUCGAUGUAAGCCUCCAUCCGGCGCCCUCCAACGGGCGCAGGAGGACAACGGAGCACCCCCCGCGUUCCACCGAGCCUCCGUCGGUCGCGUGGCGCGCGGGGACGUGCGAUGCUCUCGGACCCAGCGAACGCCGUGGGCGAGGACUCACGUCCCGGUCCCGAUAGAAGCUCCUAUAUGAUGAAUGACGGCCGCUCCCGCCCCCCGACCGCCCCGGCGGCGCGGGGGCGAGGCGCGGCGUCGCGGAGGAAUGC